CGGACGGGUGAGUAAUGUCUGGGAAACUGCCUGAUGGAGGGGGAUAACUACUGGAAACGGUAGCUAAUACCGCAUAGCGUCGCAAGACCAAAGAGGGGGACCUUAGGGCCUCUUGCCAUCGGAUGUGCCCAGAUGGGAUUAGCUAGUAGGUGGGGUAACGGCUCACCUAGGCGACGAUCCCUAGCUGGUCUGAGAGGAUGACCAGCCACACUGGAACUGAGACACGGUCCAG
rnacentral:rRNA from 1 species